GUGUGUCUGUGUGUCGCUGUGUGUCUGUGUUUGUGUGUCCUGUGUGUGUCGCUGUGUGUCUGUGUGUAAUUGUGUGUCGCUGGUGUGUGUCGCUGUGUGUCUGUGUGUAAUUGUGUGUCGCUGUGUGUCGCUGUGUGUCUGUGUGUAAUUGUGUGUGUCGCUGUGUGUGUCGCUGUGUGUCUGUGUGUCACUGUGGUGGCUGUGUGUAGCUGUGUGUCUGUGUGUCACUGUGUGUCUGUAUAAUUGUGUGUUGUAGCUGUGUGUGUGUGUGUCACUGUGUGGCUUGUGUGUCGCUGUGUCUGUGUGUCGCUGUGUGUCUGUGUGUCACUGUGUGGCUGUGUGUAGCUGUGUGUCUGUGUGUAAUUGUGUGUCGCUGUGUGUGUCGCUGUGGUGUCUGUGUGUGUGUCAUGUGUACUGUGUGUGGUGUGUGUCGCUGUGUCUGUGUCACUGUGUGUCUGUAUAAUUGUGUGUGUAGCUGUGUGUGUGUGUCACUGUGUGUCUGUAUAAUUGUGUGUGUAGCUGUGUGUGUGUGUGUCACUGUGUGGCUGUGUGUCGCUGUGUC
rnacentral:lncRNA from 1 species